rfam:Triticum urartu cultivar G1812 contig935189, whole genome shotgun sequence.
CAUAUACUUCCUCCGUCCAAAAAUACUUGUCAUCAAAAUGGACAAAAAAGAAUAUAUAUUUAGAACUAAAAUACAUCUAGAUACAUCUCCUUUUAUUCAUUUUGAUAACAACUAUUUCUGGACGAAGGGAUUACUAU